GGCCGACUAGCUCAGUUGGUUAGCAGCGUGGUGCUAAUAACGCCAAGGUCGUCGGUUCGACCCCGGCGUUGGCCA
rnacentral:tRNA from 1 species